GCUCCUAAACCUACUGUGAAGAUCAACUGCACAUUUGGGAACGCUACACUCACCUGUGACAUUAGACACCGUACAGAUCUGACUGUAUCCUGGUAUAAAGAAGACAAUAUCAUCCAGAAUGAAAACAACCCAAAACUUCUCUUGACGUCUGCUCAAGUACAGGAGAAUAAACCGUACUCCUGCAGUGUGAGCAAUCCUGUCAGCAAAGAGCAAAGUGACAGCAUUACAGUAUCAUGUGUUGGCCACCUGUGCAUGUCGAAGCUGUAGCCAACUCAAAAAAAGCACAAAACGAAGAAGAGUUCAGACUGAGGAUUAAUCCAGCUCUAAUUCCCACUAGAACAGAUCCAAACACACAGAAAACAGCUCAUAGAUGACAAACUGAGUGUUCAUACUUCCCCAAACAUACAUAAAUCACCUUAAAAUAAGAAGAUGUAGACAGAGAGGAUCACGAGCAGAACUGUGUGGCUGAUGCAGCAUUUGUUAUUCACUCGCAGAUUCAGAUAAAACUGGUUAGUGUCACAAGUUCCUAUCAAUGCAUCAGAUUCUUAAGACAUUUUUGUACACAUGAAGGUGUGCUUAAUUAACUCGUAUAGGGGGUAUUUCAUAAUUUUAAAUCUGCCAUACAAAGAAUAUACCAUUAUAUACCAUUAAAGUGGUCAUGAGCUGCCUUUGUUUUAUUUUUAUUCUGUAUUGUUCUCUGAAGAUUUUGCCAUACGAAAAAAAAUCCAAAUUUUGACAUCCCCCAUUUUAAGCCUAAUUUAAUUGUAGCUACAUUGGUUUCAAUGGCACUAUGAUGUAUUUAAGUUUACAAUGCUGUGCGACGGAUUGUAGACUCGGAAGUAAACGUCCACUGCUAUGAUUGGCUUAUAGUUGUGUAUGUUUGAAAUCCUACUUUCAGAUUAAAGUUACUGUGAUUGAGGUUAAAAACCACAUAUAUAAUCAGUACAUAUUUAUAAUUAUCAAGAGAAAAGUAAAAAAAAAAAAAAUAAUAAUAAUAAAUUAUAUGCCCACACAUUAUUUGGGAGAUUUUCAAGAAAAGAAGACACUCUCUUCUGAAGGUUUGAAGAUUCAAACUCUCUUCAAACCAUACAUUCCUGUGGUGUUUUAUUUUUUUCUUUCAUUUAUUUAUAGUAAUUUAUUUGCAUCUACAUUUAACCAUAGAGUCAUGUAUAAUAAUCAUAGCCAUUUACUCAUGUAAUUGAUUCACUAAUUGAUUGGUCAUUUAUAUUACAUUAUUGUCUUUUUAUAUUAUUUUUACAUUGUUGUUUAGUCUUAUGGCUGUGUGGUCUCAAAGACUGUUUGUCUUCAUGAAUAAGAAUUAAGAGAGAAUUUUUAUGGAGAUUUAAGGUUUAUGGGAUGUUGUUGUGAAGAGAUUUGUGCAACAAAGUCUGAGCACUGAAACAUUCACUGUAAAAAUAUAUUAUGCUUUUAAUAUAAGAAACACUGUAAAAAAAUCUACAGUAAAAACCUGUUAACUGGUUAACGGUAAGUUUCCAUACUAUAUUCAGUGAAUAAAUGUGAUUAUAGUUAAUGUAAUUUUACAGUAAUAAACUUAAAAAUACAGCUUUUGUAAGUGAAAAAUAAAAUGUCAUUGUAUAAUUUACAGUGACAGACAGUAAAUCGACACGCCCAUAAUUCUCUGCCUUUUUUAUUAAAAGUGUUUUUUUUUUUGUUUUUUCCUCAGUUGUGUACAUUAAGGUUUAAUAUAUCUAAUGUUGUUAAAUGAAUUUUGAUUGCAUUAUUUCAUCUGUGUCACCAUGAUGGGGAUUAGUGUCUGCGUGAAUGACACUGUGCACCUUCUAUAUAUUAGUAUUGCCCUCCUCAGCUCGUAGAAAAGAUGUGUGUGAUGAGCUUUGGUUAAUCACUUGACCAUCACAUCACCACCAGUUUUUGAUAGUUAUCAGUGCCUUACAUUGGUUUAAAACAGAUAUUAGUACUUCAAUAUGUUGGUUUAUUAACAUCACAUAAGUUGAUGAAACAGUAUUUUAUUGUAAAUUUGAAAUUCUGUAAAAGCUAACAAGUUGUGACCUUCAUUUACAGUGAAGUUCUGGAAACCAUAGCUGCUGGUAUUUUACUGUAAAUGUCUUUUUUUUUUUUGAUGAAUAUUUCUCA